rnacentral:rRNA from 1 species
UACAGAGGGGGCAAGCGUUAUUCGGAAUUAUUGGGCGUAAAGGGCGCGUAGGCGGCUUUGCAAGUGGCGGGUGAAAUCCCUCGGCUUAACCGAGGAACUGCCUGCCAGACUGCAUGGCUUGAGACCAGGAGAGGUGAGUGGAAUUCCCAGUGUAGCGGUGAAAUGCGUAGAUAUUGGGAGGAACACCAGUGGCGAAGGCGGCUCACUGGACUGGUACUGACGCUGAGGCGCGAAAGCGUGGGGAGCAAACAGG